CUGAACCACAUUGUUGAGGGAACACACAAACAGAGAAAGGUCUUCCCGAGCGGAUGCUGCGGUGCAGACGCCUAGGUCUUCCUCAGAAUAGAAGCACAGCCAGAGACUCAAAGAGGUCAUCUCCAGGGGGUCUCCUUGCCGCAGUCAGAGCUGGAGCUGGAGCAGAAGUGCAGCCGAGGCCACUGAGGAGGCAUUCACAACUCAGACCUGCAGCCUCCUCCGACCACAGAGCCAAUGCUGUGGAACGGCCACUCGGCGCUAGGGAUCUCCAGGGAAACCCUGCCAGCGCCCUGAGCUUAUGGCCUGGCCUUAAACCUGCACCACUGGCUUGAGAAGUGCCACAUCCUCUCCCUAUCUUUAAAGAUAGCACAGCACCUGCCUUCGUGAAUCCAUUUCAGUGAAAGUGUGGCUUAAAAACCAGAGCUGUACAGCAACAUACACACACGCCCCAAACACAUCCUCACUUCCACCUUCCGUCUUUUCUCUUUGCUCUUUCUGCAUUCACCCCUCUGGCCCAGUCUCUGUGUCUCUGUUCCACCUAUUUCUGUCUCUGUCAAUCUGUGUCUCUUUCCAUCUGCCUCUGUCCCUUGCUGCGUCUCUGCUUCUCUCUGCCACAUUUUGUGUUUCUUUUCUGUCUCUGUCCACGUGUAAGUGUUAUUCUGCAUCUCACGCCCUCUCUGAGUUUUUGUUCAUGUCUGCCUGCUUUGCUCACCCCCAAGGGCCCUGAGGUCCCUGCCACCCCUCAUUCCUCCGUUCCUCUGUAGCAGCCGCCUCUCUGGGUGCCACUAGCUCACACUUAGCUCUCAAGGCAAUCGUAGAAAGAAGAAAGGGAGGAGGAUGCUAGCGGGGAGCUUGAAGCAAGUGGUGGGGCAGCAGUGAGAAGUAGAAGUAGCGCUGAAUAAAUACGCAGCUGUCUCUUUUAUCUCUUCUUGGCAGGAGGCAGAAGCUGGGGCAGGGGCGGCUCAGAAGAAUGGGCAUGGAGGCAGACGGAUGAUGGGGCCCAGAGUGAGACCGGGAGACUCAGGGCAGCAGACAGGGCUGACAUGAAAGGGGACGCAAGUUUCCAUGACCUCUGGCUCCUGGCAGGAGACUUUCCACCCUGAUUAUUGGGGACAGGGAUUGUUUAGGAGUCCAAGACAAAAGGAUAAAAUAAGGAGACUAUGGGAAGGGCAGUAAGUGUGUGUGUGUGUGUGCACACACACACACACCCCUAUGUUGCGUAUGAUAGUCACUAGUGCUAUUUGCUAAAUAUUUCUGGGUCUCGGCUUCCAAAUUGCACUCCCUGGCCCCCUUGUGGUUGGAUGCGGCCAUAUGACCAGUUCUGGCCAAUGGGCAGAAGAGAAAGUGUCACUUCCCAGCAGAAGAAUGCAAUUGCCAAUGCAACACCUUCCAGAGGUCUUUCUUUCCCUCUGGCACUAUGACCAGCAAGCUUUGAGCUGGUGGCUUCUCCAUCAGCCUUGGCCUCGGGGUGAUAUGAUGUGCAGAAGCUGUGACUGGCAUGUCAUGUGAGCAAGAAGUGAGCCCUGUGGUUUUAAGCGGGAGACAUUUUGGAGUCGUUUGUUAAUGAAGCAUAGCCUUGCCUAUCCUGACUGAUACAGUAUACAGGCCUGUGAUUGUAGAGGUGUCCGUAUGGAGUGUAAAGUGUCCAGGGAUUGUGUGUUUAAGCAUGUGUAUAUGCCAAUAUUUAUUCAACACAUAAAUAAGCACAUGUGUUUAGAAGUGAGUGUGUGUAAAUACAAGUCUUGGUAUUUUUGCUACACACCCAGCAAAUGGCGAAGAAGGAAAGUUUCCCUCUGCUGCUGUCUCACCUCCUCUUUGAGGUAGAAACACAAAGGGCCAGAUCUUGGGUCCCCCUUGCCUCCUAACCACAUAUGCCUAACUUUAACCUCCAAGUCUUCUCUUCCCAGCAGCCGCUACCCACUUCCCUGAGUGUUCCUGGGGUGGCUACUGCUUUUGGCUGCCUGGCACAAUUUCCCUCUCUCCGAGCCCCAGGCAGAGUGACUGGUUCUGGGAUGGGCAUGUGGCCUGGGCCAGACCACUCAGACACCUUCCCCAGGAUUUUGCUGCUGCAGCAAGCAGGGAAGUGGAGCGCCCCUUCCCUUUGGGGUGAUAGACACAGGAAGGGGUGAGAUGUACAGCUGUCCCUGCCAUGGAGGGACGAGUGGCCAGGCCGGAAGAUGCCGAGCUGAGAGAAAGGAACAAGAUACUUUGGAUCCAGUGCCGCCUGGUCUCAAUAAUGACAUGGACCGGUGUGUUUAUUUGCUUGCUCUCCAAGGCUGUGGUGGACUCUGGAGCCCAGCAGCCUGGACUGCAAUCUUGCUAAGUGAUGUGAGCACCUUAUUUAAUCCCUGUGCCUCUGUCUCCUCUGUGACGGUAAUAGUGUAAAUUUCACAGCAUACUUCUGAGAAUUAAAUGAGUGGAUUCACAUUAGUGCUCAGAACAGUGCCUAGUGCACGGUGAGCAGCUGACAUCAGCUAUUAUGAUUUCCUAAACCAAUGUGAAUUGGGUUUUUGUUACUGGCAACUGAAAUGGUUCUG